AUGAACGCUGGCGGCGUGCCUAAUACAUGCAAGUCGAGCGAACAGACGAGGAGCUUGCUCCUCUGACGUUAGCGGCGGACGGGUGAGUAACACGUGGAUAACCUACCUAUAAGACUGGGAUAACUUCGGGAAACCGGAGCUAAUACCGGAUAAUAUAUUGAACCGCAUGGUUCAAUAGUGAAAGACGGUUUUGCUGUCACUUAUAGAUGGAUCCGCGCCGCAUUAGCUAGUUGGUAAGGUAACGGCUUACCAAGGCAACGAUGCGUAGCCGACCUGAGAGGGUGAACCGCCACACUGGAACGGAGACACGGUCCAGACUCCUACGGGAGGCAGCAGGAGGGAAUCUUCCGCCAUGGGCGAAAGCUUGACGGAGCAACGCCGGGUGAGGGAUGAAGGUCUUCGGAUCGUAAAACUCUGUUAUUAGGGAAGAACAAAUGUGUAAGUAACUAUGCACGUCUUGACGGUACCUAAUCAGAAAGCCACGGCUAACUACGUG
rnacentral:rRNA from 1 species